UCACAGAGAAAGGUUCUCUGAAAAAUCCUCUCAUUCUCUCUUCCAAUUCAAAGGCAGAGCCCACAACUCCUGUCAAUUCUCAACCCUAGAGAAUACAUGAGGCUCCAUUUGUGGUGGUGUCCCAAUUGGAAGAAGAGAUCGUGAUCCGUUCAAGGGAGUUCGUGAAGAAUUUGUUCUUCAAACGUGGAGGAAGAUAAUGACAGUCCAAUUGAGGAAGUGAGGCUGAUAGUUCCACCAACUGAUGACCCUUCAGAGCCAGCCUUAACAUUCAGAACAUGGAUUCUUUGGCUUACAUCUUGCUGUCCCUUGUCUUUUGUUGUAAACCAAUUCUUUGGUUUUCGCCAGAAUCCGCUUUAUGUUUCGUCGGUUUCUGCACAGAUUCUUGUUCUUCCUCUGGGAAAAUUGAUGGCUGCAACUAUUCCAUCUACCUCAGUUCGAAUUCCACUCACCAAAUGGUCAUUUUCGUUGAAUCCAGGGCCGUUUACUGUCAAAGAACAUGUCCUGAUCACCAUUUUCGCCAAUUCUGGAUCAAAUAACUGUCUGUGCUAUGAAUAUAGUCACGAGGUAAGGCAUUUUACCACAGAAAUCUCCAUCCUUUGGCAGCCUUGUUUGUUGUCUCAAACCAGUCAGGUAUCUUCUAAUUUACUUCAUUAGGCUCAAUAAGCCUCUCUAUCUUUAGAUUGCUUCAGACUGGUUGUGUUUGUCCCAUAAUACAAUACCCAUUUUCAUAUAUUGGUUGGUGCAUUUCUAGUAUAUUUUUCUGAGUGAUUGCCAAUGAGCAGAUGCUAGGAUAUAUAGAUGGACUGGGUUGUUCAGAAGAUACCUAGUUGACUCCCCAUAUAUGUGGUGGCCUGCAAAUCUAGUUCAGUUCUCUCUGUUCAGGAAUUGUUCAAGGCGUUGCAUGAGAAAGACAAGAGACCAAGAGGGGUCAUACAAGGCAACAAUUCUUCUUCAGGGUUUUCAUAUCGAGUUUCGGUUACUACCUCAUUCCAAGCUACCUCUUCCCAUCAAUAUCUUGCAUCUCAUUGGUUUGUUUGAUAUGGAGAAACUCCAUUACUGCCCAACAGAUUGGUUCGGGCCUUCGCGGCCUUGGCAUCGGCUCAUUCGGGAUUGAUUGGAAAACUGUUGCUGGCUUCUUGGGAAGCCCUCUGGCCACACCUGGCUUUGCAAUCGUCAAUGUCUUAAUUGGGUUUUUCAUGGUCGUCUAUGUAAUAAACCCCAUUGUCUACUGGUCAAAUCUUUAUGAAGCUAAGCGAUUUCCCAUGAUUUCUGCUCACACUUUUCACUUCACUGGUAAAACCUACAUUUCUC